UGUUAAUCAUUCUCACCUGUGCGCUGGGCUCAGAGAGUCUGCUGCUGUGUGUGAUUGCAAGGAGGUGCUAAUAACAUUUUACUUAAACGCCAUCUGCUCAGACUGCUGAGGUGGAGAGAGAGGGAAGUGUCACCAAGGGAACAUAAUAUGUGUGGAGACCUAUUUGAUCUUCUCAAGAUUCACCUGGGAACACGUGCCUAUCACCAUGAAGAUCAGUGAAAUAUAGCAGACCCCACUGAAGACCUCCAAAAUCUGUCCAAGAAUGAAAUUCAGCAGAGAAGCUCGAACCCGCAGCCCUAAUGGGCCGUUUGGGGGAUGCUGAUUGGCAUAUCCGAUGAGUCCUGUCGGUUGUGUUGUGUGUGUCCAGCCCAGCUUCUGUUACUCCGAGGUGUGCAUUUUCCUCUGUUAAUGGUCCUGCAGCACCAAACUUUCUGGUGAUUGCUGUCUAAUUGCUGCCUGUGUCAGUGGAUGCCACAUCAACCCUGAGAAAAACGGCCAAAUGAGACACACAUCAAACGCGAGCGGAGGCCGUGAUGAUGAAGAUGAAGGUCUGCUGUUUACUCAUUACACACAUAUCAUGUGUGUGCGGCGGAGGCAGUGGGACUGAGACCUUGGCACUUCAAAAUGGGUCUCGCACACAUACACAUCAUUAGUGCCAUGAGAAUGGCAUAAAUGAGGCCCACGCACUCAGCACCUAAUGGUUUGUGUCUGAGGGCAAUUCUUUUAGCGAUGUCAUAUGGAAAAACAGCAUGAUAACAGUAAAAAUAUGUGAAACUGUCCAGUGUAUUUUCGUUUUAAUGAGACAGGCAAACAAAUAAGGCGGAUAACUAUAAAUAACACAGUUAAUUGAUUUGUUUAGGGUCUUUUAGCAUGAGAUUGUCAUGUAAAAUAUUUUUUGAUGCAUUAAAAAAUGAUCACAAAUGGAGUAUAUGGAGUAUAACUUUGCAAAUAUUUCCCCUCAAACACACAAAUACACAGCAUUUCCUUCCUCGGAGGAGUCAUAAAAACCAAAUAGGAGUUUUCAGAGAAACUGCUUGCACACCACACUGAAGAUUAAUUACUGUAGCCUACUGCUGCGAAGAGUCCAGAGGCAAAGACACACCAGAG
ensembl:lncRNA